rnacentral:rRNA from 1 species
AGAGUUUGAUCCUGGCUCAGGACGAACGCUGGCGGCGUGCCUAAUACAUGCAAGUCGAACGAACUCUGGUAUUGAUUGGUGCUUGCAUCAUGAUUUACAUUUGAGUGAGUGGCGAACUGGUGAGUAACACGUGGGAAACNNAGUUUGAAAGAUGGCUUCGGCUAUCACUUUUGGAUGGUCCCGCGGCGUAUUAGCUAGAUGGUGGGGUAACGGCUCACCAUGGCAAUGAUACGUAGCCGACCUGAGAGGGUAAUCGGCCACAUUGGGACUGAGACACGGCCCAAACUCCUACGGGAGGCAGCAGUAGGGAAUCUUCCACAAUGGACGAAAGUCUGAUGGAGCAACGCCGCGUGAGUGAAGAAGGGUUUCGGCUCGUAAAACUCUGUUGUUAAAGAAGAACAUAUCUGAGAGUAACUGUUCAGGUAUUGACGGUAUUUAACCAGAAAGCCACGGCUAACUACGUGCCAGCAGCCGCGGUAAUACGUAGGUGGCAAGCGUUGUCCGGAUUUAUUGGGCGUAAAGCGAGCGCAGGCGGUUUUUUAAGUCUGAUGUGAAAGCCUUCGGCUCAACCGAAGAAGUGCAUCGGAAACUGGGAAACUUGAGUGCAGAAGAGGACAGUGGAACUCCAUGUGUAGCGGUGAAAUGCGUAGAUAUAUGGAAGAACACCAGUGGCGAAGGCGGCUGUCUGGUCUGUAACUGACGCUGAGGCUCGAAAGUAUGGGUAGCAAACAGGAUUAGAUACCCUGGUAGUCCAUACCGUAAACGAUGAAUGCUAAGUGUUGGAGGGUUUCCGCCCUUCAGUGCUGCAGCUAACGCAUUAAGCAUUCCGCCUGGGGAGUACGGCCGCAAGGCUGAAACUCAAAGGAAUUGACGGGGGCCCGCACAAGCGGUGGAGCAUGUGGUUUAAUUCGAAGCUACGCGAAGAACCUUACCAGGUCUUGACAUACUAUGCAAAUCUAAGAGAUUAGACGUUCCCUUCGGGGACAUGGAUACAGGUGGUGCAUGGUUGUCGUCAGCUCGUGUCGUGAGAUGUUGGGUUAAGUCCCGCAACGAGCGCAACCCUUAUUAUCAGUUGCCAGCAUUAAGUUGGGCACUCUGGUGAGACUGCCGGUGACAAACCGGAGGAAGGUGGGGAUGACGUCAAAUCAUCAUGCCCCUUAUGACCUGGGCUACACACGUGCUACAAUGGAUGGUACAACGAGUUGCGAACUCGCGAGAGUAAGCUAAUCUCUUAAAGCCAUUCUCAGUUCGGAUUGUAGGCUGCAACUCGCCUACAUGAAGUCGGAAUCGCUAGUAAUCGCGGAUCAGCAUGCCGCGGUGAAUACGUUCCCGGGCCUUGUACACACCGCCCGUCACACCAUGAGAGUUUGUAACACCCAAAGUCGGUGGGGUAACCUUUUAGGAACCAGCCGCCUAAGGUGGGACAGAUGAUUAGGGUGAAGUCGUAACAAGGUAGCCGUAGGAGAACCUGCGGCUG